rnacentral:rRNA from 1 species
ACUGUAAACGAUGAUAACUCGCUGUCGGCGAUAUACAGUCGGUGGCCAAGCGAAAGCGAUAAGUUAUCCACCUGGGGAGUACGACCGCAAGGUUGAAACUCAAAGGAAUUGACGGGGGCCCGCACAAGCGGAGGAACAUGUGGUUUAAUUCGAUGAUACGCGAGGAACCUUACCCGGGCUCGAACGGUGCAGGAAUAUGGUAGAGAUAUCAUAGCUAGCAAUAGUCUGUAUCGAGGUGCUGCAUGGUUGUCGUCAGCUCGUGCCGUGAGGUGUCGGCUUAAGUGCCAUAACGAGCGCAACCCUUGUCAUUAGUUACCAUCAGGUCAAGCUGGGGACUCUAAUGAGACUGCCACCGUAAGGUGAGAGGAAGGGGGGGAUGACGUCAAAUCAGCACGGCCCUUAUGUCCGGGGCGACACACGUGUUACAAUGGGGGGUACAGAGGGCAGCCAUCCGGCGACGGAGCGCCAAUCUCAAAAACCCUUCUCAGUUCGGAUUGGAGUCUGCAACCCGACUCCAUGAAGUUGGAUUCGCUAGUAAUCGCGCAUCAGCC